GCCGCUCUACCCAGGAGCCUUGGAGUAUGAUCAGGAUAGAAGGUAUUGAACAUUUUUGUAUUUGGUGGGGAGAGAGCUCAGAGGGAGGAAGAAAUAGAAGAUGCAGAAGAGGGUGGACUAAUUGAUGGAGCAGAGUCUUUGAGAUUCGAUACAUUUCUCAGACUCAAGGUUUGCCAGGAGAACAGUUGUUAAAUGUGGGUACUAAAUCCACAAGAUUUUUUUGCAAAGAAACAGAUAUGUCUCAUUCUGGUUGGAGAUUAAAGACAUUGGAAGAGCAUGAGGCAGAGACAGGAAUGAAGUCUAAAGAAGCCAGAAAAUACAUUUUCAACAGUCUGGAUGAUAUAGCGCA
rnacentral:sRNA from 1 species